rnacentral:rRNA from 1 species
UGGGGAAUAUUGCACAAUGGGCGCAAGCCUGAUGCAGCCAUGCCGCGUGAAUGAUGAAGGCCUUAGGGUUGUAAAAUUCUUUCGCCAAGGAUGAUAAUGACAGUACUUGGUAAAGAAGCCCCGGCUAACUUCGUG